CUAUGGUUAACUAGUGGCCGACUCUGCCCUCUGAUCUCCAGGCAAGCUUUAUUUGUCAGAACACAAACAGAAUAUCAGACAACAGACAGCACUGAUCCAGGCUCUGCCACCAUCUACAGUAGCUCUGACAGCUGUGAGGAUGGACAUGUUCUACUUCUGUGCUACACACAGUAGUCACAGGCCCCGUGUGCUGACUGGACACUGUCAGAGCACAGCCACAGGACUAUAAAGAGAGAAGUCACCUGAGUCCUCCCCUCACUCAAGAUGAAACUCCUUCUGCUGGUCACUCUGCUCACAGACAAAAACAAAGCCUGUGAGGCCUUCAUCUGCCACUGUGACCGCCAGGCAGCCAUCUGCUUCUCCAAGGCUCCAUCAACAAACAAUACAAAGUCUUUCACUGUUAGACUUGUCAUCUCAGUUACUGCCUACACCAUUCCAGCUUGCCUGCUUGUCUUCAUUACAUGCUGAGCCCUCUAAAAAAGAACCUAGGAAAAGAACUGCGCUUUGGAGACUGUAUUCUCUGUUGUGGAAUAUUAUUUUAAGAUGUGUUAUGUUUGUUUACGCUGUGGAACAUUUGUUUAAUUAUGCAAA